UGGGGAAUAUUGCACAAUGGAGGGAACUCUGAUGCAGCGACGCCGCGUGAACGAAGAAGGCUUUCGAGUCGUAAAGUUCUUUUAUAUGGGAAGAUAAUGACGGUACCAUAAGAAAAAGCCCCGGCUAACUACGUGCCAGCAGCCGCGGUAAUACGUCGGGGGCUAGCGUUGUCCGGAAUCACUGGGCGUAAAGGGUUCGCAGGCGGAAAUGCAAGUCAGAUGUAAAAGGCAGUAGCUUAACUACUGUAAGCAUUUGAAACUGCAUAUCUUGGGAAGAGUAGAGGUAAGUGGAAUUUUUAGUGUAGCGGUGAAAUGCGUAGAUAUUAAAAAGAAUACCGGUGGCGAAGGCGACUUACUGGGCUCAUUCUGACGCUGAGGAACGAAAGAGUGGGUAGCAAACAGG
rnacentral:rRNA from 1 species